rnacentral:rRNA from 1 species
UGGGGAAUUUUGGACAAUGGGCGAAAGCCUGAUCCAGCAAUGCCGCGUGUGUGAAGAAGGCCUUCGGGUUGUAAAGCACUUUUGUCCGGAAAGAAAUCCUCUGGGUUAAUACCUCGGGGGGAUGACGGUACCGGAAGAAUAAGCACCGGCUAACUACGUGCCAGCAGCCGCGGUAAUACGUAGGGUGCAAGCGUUAAUCGGAAUUACUGGGCGUAAAGCGUGCGCAGGCGGUUUGCUAAGACCGAUGUGAAAUCCCCGGGCUCAACCUGGGAACUGCAUUGGUGACUGGCAGGCUAGAGUAUGGCAGAGGGGGGUAGAAUUCCACGUGUAGCAGUGAAAGUGCGUAGAGAUGUGGAGGAAUACCGAUGGCGAAGGCAGCCCCCUGGGCCAAUACUGACGCUCAUGCACGAAAGCGUGGGGAGCAAACAGGAUUAGAUACCCUGGUAGUCCACGCCCUAAACGAUGUCAACUAGUUGUUGGGGAUUCAUUUCCUUAGUAACGUAGCUAACGCGUGAAGUUGACCGCCUGGGGAGUACGGUCG